rnacentral:rRNA from 1 species
GACGAACGCUGGCGGCGUGCCUAAUACAUGCAAGUAGAACGCUGAAGCUUGGUGCUUGCACCGAGCGGAUGAGUUGCGAACGGGUGAGUAACGCGUAGGUAACCUGCCUGGUAGCGGGGGAUAACUAUUGGAAACGAUAGCUAAUACCGCAUAACAGUAGAUAUCGCAUGAUAGCUACUUGAAAGGUGCAAAUGCACCACUACCAGAUGGACCUGCGUUGUAUUAGCUAGUUGGUGAGGUAACGGCUCACCAAGGCAACGAUACAUAGCCGACCUGAGAGGGGGAUAGGCCACACUGGGACUGAGACACGGCCCAGACUCCUACGGGAGGCAGCAGGAGGGAAUAUUCGGCAAUGGACGGAAGGCUGACCGAGCAACGCCGCGUGAGUGAAGAAGGGUUUCGGAUCGUAAAGCUCUGUUGUAAGAGAAGAACGAGUGUGAGAGUGGAAAGUUCACACUGUGACGGUAUCUUACCAGAAAGGGACGGCUAACUACGUG